AGGUUGCUAUAUAUAUAUCUGGCCUAAUAAUGUAAAUAGGCAUAUUUAUCAACGAAAAUGGUUUUUUUGUUUUUUUAUUUAUUUAUUUUUGUUUUUUUUUUUUUUGUCGAUUGCUGUUUUGUUUCGGGCUCAUACGCAUAGAUCCAUGAUUCGUCACCUGUGACGAUUUUAUAAACGUCUUUUGAAGCACCACGAUCGUAUUUUUUCAGCAUUUCUUUACACCAAUUCACACGAGCCUUUUUUUGAGCGAUUGUCAAAUUGUGCGUUACGGCCAGGUGUUCAUGCAAUAUCGAAUGUAAGCUGGUGGGAGAAAUGCAUAGGCAUACCUCUAUCUGAAGGUAUGUUACAUGAUGGCCUUGCAUUAUCAGUUCACGUACGGCAUCGAUGUUUUCUGGCACAACGGCUGUUUUUGGACGACCUUCACGAAAUUCGUCUUUGAGCGAGCGUCGGCCACGAUUGAAUUCGUUGUACCAGUUUUUCACAGUGCUAUAGGAUGGUGCUUCAUAGCCAUACAAAGAUUUUAGUUCAUCGAUGCACUCUUGUCGUGAUAAUCCACGUCGAAAGUUGUGAAAAAUGAUCGCACGAAAAUGUUCACGAGUUAAUUCCAUUUUUUGGCCGAGAUGAAUUUUUUAAUUCCCUGUAAAUAAAACAAUUCACGAUUAAAUGGCAAAACGUUCUGAGUGAUGUUAUGCUAAAAAUGUCAAACUUUCCAAUGGAAAUGUCAGAUUGCACCUGGCAAAACUUAGUGUUGCCCUAGACCAGAAUAUAUAUAGCAGCCCUCGUAGUUGUUUUAGUUUUGUUGAUAUGCGAAAAUAUCAAAAAAAAAAAAAACCAACGAUGUUUACUUUAUCAAACUCAAUUUACGACUGAUUAUAUAUCGACCAAUUCCUAAUAACCGGUUUAAAUUCUUAUCCUUAACUUAUCUUAUCUUAACUAGAGUAUUUUAUUUUAUGUCCAUCCUGAUUUAUCCCAAUAUAGUAGUAGUGAUAACGAGAUAUCGACCUGUCUUCUACAUUUCACUUUCACAUGCCAAUUGCCCAAAGGGAAAUUUACGUACGUAUGUUGCUUUUUAUAUUUCGGGACACUAGUGUUGCAGUCCGGAAACUCACAAUUUUAUCGCAAAGUUUGGCAUUUUUGAUGGUAUGCAUACUCAUAACGUUUUGACAUACCUGCGCUAUUUGUGUUGUAAGUUAAAAUUUUCUUGUCGGGCAAAAAUAUAUUGAUUGAUUUUAUUGUGUACAACUUUAAACGUGAAUUAACUCAGAUUAAACUGAUAUUGCAAGAUUGUCAUGUGACCUAUCGUGAAAAUGAGCCAUUGAUCCUACAAUUGGUUCAAACGCAUGCAAAAAUGUAUAGAUCUUAAUGGAGGUAAUCAACAAUAAAGCAUUUUUCGAUUAAUUAAAUUUGGUUUUGUUUUGAAUCCCGAAAUAUAAAAGGCAACAUAGUUAGUGGUAUUAAAGCCACUUGCUAUUAGAUUAAUCUCAUCGCAAUGAUAGUUCUAACUAUUGAGACUAAAUAUUUUUAAGGAGCUACAAGGCAUGUAGGAAGGUGAGGUCGUAACAUCUACACAAUUUCUCUUCCAAUCACUAACUUUUAUUAGACCAAGGUUGAAGCAUCGUAAUAAAUAUAUAUUUUUGCGCAAUAAGUGUUGAAAAGUAAUCUUUUUCUUUUGCAUUAGCAAAUAAUAUUCUCACCUUAUUACUUUCAAAUCGCAAAGGCAAAACAAAAGGCUUAUUUUCUACUCUUAUUGCGUAAGAGUUAUUUAAAAUUCUCUGCAUAACUGUUAUUUGUGCAGUCAUCGACUGAUACUUGAAGCGAACGGUUGUGUUUUUGUAGUGCUUUUGGUGUUUUUUUUUCGCUAUUCUCUCACACCUUUUUCGUAAGUGCAUUCUAACUUCUAGAACUUUCAUUUAAAGCACGUGUUAAAGACUGCAUAUAUUAUAGUAUAAUGAACAACAAACAACAUUUCCCCAGGGGGACACUCUCUUAGUGAUAACAGAUUCUCUCUGUUAUCAACAAGUCCUACAUCAAAAAGAAAAAAAAAAUCAAGCAUUUCCCAAUAACGAUUUCCCAAGCCUUCCUCCAACAACAAAAGAUAACCCAAGAUAUUUAGUGCUAAGUGCAAUUAACUCUCAAAAACCCAUAAGCAAAUAUUCGUGUUUUACGGUGCACAAAGCGUUAAAAAUUGUAAGCAACGAAAUAAUAAACAUAUUAGAACUUAGAGACGGAAAACUUUUAUUACUAGUAAAAAACAACAACAUAGCUCAAAAAUUCAUAUCAACGAAAACUUUAUAUGGCAUAUGUGAUGUAGAAAUAAAACUCCACAACAACCUUAACUACACAAAAGGAACAAUCUACGCACCAUGCCUCAAUGAAAUCUCCGACGACGAAAUCAUUGAACACUUAAAAGCACAGGGAGUUGUAUCAAUAUUCAAAUUCCCUAAAUACAUUAAUCAAAAGCCAGUACCUAGUGGAGUCGUUCUCCUGACCUUUGAUAAAUAUCACCUUCCUGAAAAAAUUGAAGUGUCUUGGUACACAACUAAGGUAAGGCCAUAUUAUCCAAACCCUAUGAGGUGCAAAAACUGCCAACUUUUAGGUCACACCACAAAGCGAUGUACCAAAGCCGCUGCUUGCGACAAGUGCGCUCUCCCCCCUCACCAACCAUCCCCUUGUACUCGUUCCUUUUGCAUAAACUGUUCAGGUAAUCACGCAUCUUCUGACAAAAUAUGUCCCAAAUUUAUACAAAUGAAACAAAUAAUAACCAUAAAAACAGACAAAAGUGCUCCAUGCGAGAAGCAAUAAAAAUUACUCCUGCACUCAGUGAAAACUCUACUACAUUCGCUAGUAUGGCAAAAAAUGCGACCAACAACGCAAAGGAAAAUAACAAAUUCUCACAAAUCUCUUCUACAGAAAAUAUUCCUUCUAUUACAAACAACAAACCUACCAUCAAUAUGCAUAACGAAUCACAAGAUAAAGAAGUAAGCGAAAACAAUUACACCACAGCAAAUUUAACAAAUGCAACAACAACAGUAUCAGUCGAUGACUCUCAAACCCACGCAAUGAUCUCAUCAUUGCUUACUCACCUUACAGCUCCUAUACUAACAACACCAACAAUAAACUCACCUCAACCUACAAUAUUCCCCUCUCUGACAACAGAUAAUGAAAUGAUAGAAUAAACAAUGCGAAUCUUACAGUGGAAUAUAAAUGGCUUACUUAAUAACUACCCUGAUUUAAAUAUCCUUAUCAAUGAAUUUUGCCCGGAAAUUAUUUUACUCCAAGAAACCCACACCCCUUACAAUAAAAAGGUAUAUCCUCCUAAUAAAUAUCAUAGUUAUUUCCACAAUAGUACACAAAACUUAUACGCCAAACAAGGAAUUGCAGUUUUCGUCAAGAAAUCUGUAAAUCAUAAGCAAAUUUCAAUCGUCAGCAACAUCUCGUGCUUAGCUAUUUAAAUAGAAAUUGGAUUUAAAUUUACAAUUAUUAUUUGCUACAUACCACCUCAUCAAAAUUUUACUUAUGGAGAACUCGACAAUAUCAUAAAACAGUUUACUACUCCAAUUAUCAUAAUGGGAGACUUCAAUGCAUGGAGUCCAUUGUGGGGAUCAUCGACAGCGAAUAAAAGAGGCAAAAUCAUCGAAGAUUUAGUCAUUUCAAAUGAUCUUAUCGUGCUAAACGAUGGUAAAGCAACCCACUUCUCUACACAUAACACCUUCACACAUCCCGACAUUAUCCUAGCCUCAUCCACAAUAGCACCCAAACUCUCUUCUCAUACAAUCGAUGACCUCCACAGUAGCGAUCACUUUCCCAUAGUCACAUCCCUCUCCAUCCCUAAAACGUACAAUGUUAAGCCAAGAUCCAAAUUUCUAACCGAUAAGGCAAACUGGGAAAAAUUCAUUAACAUUUCAGCAAGUUUAUCCAAUACUAGGAGCUCUAGAGAAAACGUAAAUGCUGAAGCAUCUGCUAUUAAGACUAUUAUUCGUUCAACAGCUCAUUUAACCAUUCCCCAAAAUAACAUCCAAAGGUUUUCAGCAAAAUUACCGUAUUGGUCUAAUCUAUUAUCUAUCCUCAGAAAUAGGAAAAAGUCUUUGUGGACAACAUUCAAACACAACAGAACUGACGAUAAUUUAAUUGAAUAUAGAAAGGCUAAUGCUAACUUUCGAAAGGAGUUAAGGUUGACUAAAAGGCAAUCAUUAAAUUAACAGCCAAUAUAAACCCAACUACGAAGCCGAAACAAAUAUGGUCCGAUAUAAAAAUGCUAACAGGAUCUACACACAGAUUCAGUAUAUCCCACAUUAACACGCCUUCAGGGCCUAUUUACACACCCCAAGAAAUCGCGGAAAAAUUUGCAGAAACAUGGUCAUCAUAUUCCUCUGAAACAAACUUUGCUCCUACAUUUAACGCAAUUAAAAAACGAAUAGAAAAUGAAACGUAUUCUAACUCGUCACCUUCUCCAAAUGCACUUCACAUUGAAGCUGACAUUACAAUUAACGAAUUCGAUACGACACUUUCGACCUUAAAAGGAAAAACACCCGGUGCAGACAAAAUAUCCUAUCCCAUCUUAAAAAAUCUCCCAAAAAUCUCGCUUAAAGUAAGACUUGUGAACCUCUAUAAUAAAAUACUAAACUCAGGUAUAUAUCCUCAACAAUGGAAAGUUUUCUUAGUCAUUCCCAUCCUUAAACCUAAUAAACCUUCUUCCUACAUUGAGAAUUACAGACUCAUUUCCCUUUUACUUUGUAUGUCCAAGGCAUUAGAAAAAAUAAUUUCCUCGAGACUGAUGUGGUAUGCAAAAGUAAAUCGACUCAUAAGCCCGCACCAAUUCGGUUUUCAAAAAGGAUUAGGAGUAAUAGACCCCCUGUUACAAUUUGAACACUUCGCUUCCACUAACUUGACAACCCGUAAUCACGUUUCAGUUCUAAGCCUGGACUUAGAAUAAGCCGUCGACAGGGUUGGAGCUCACAUGCGCCAAUAAAUGCCAAUCACAGGUUUUCAAGUUGAACAAUGGUAUACCCCAGGGUUCACCACUCUCGGCAACUCUCUUCAUCAUUGCGUUUAAUAAAGUCAGCUCCAUAAUUAGUACUAACCCACAAAUAAAACACUUUAUCUACGCAGAUGACGUCGUGAUCUUUACAAAAAUUAAAGACUUAACACAAGUUAAACAUGCAUUUAUAAAAAUUUUAAAUGAUGUCAACAAAUGGUCCAAAAUUUCAGGUGUAAAAAUUUCAUUAAACAAAAGCUCCACAUUUCAUAUUUGUAGAAAACAUAAUUGCUCAUUUCCCACCUUAUCCUUUUUAAAUACACAAAUUCCCCAUACUCAUAACUUAAAAAUUCUAGGCUUAAUAUUUGACAAAACUCUUUCUUAUAAAGAACAUUGUAAAUAUAUUCGAUCAAACUUAUUUCUAAGACUAAACAUUAUAAAGUACUUAUCAUCAAAAAAUUGUUUGUGACAAGAGCACUAUUGUUAUCAAAAAUUGACUAUGGACUUGCAAUAUACGGACACUGUCCCAAAACUCAUAUCAAACUCUUAAAUGCACCUUACCAUGCGGCAGCGAGAAGGAGUAUUCGUGCCUUCCCAACAUCACCAAUCAAAGCUAUUUUAAAAGAAUCCGGGUUACCAGAUAUUCAGCAAAGGACCAUACAUAACACAAUGCUACUCAUUCCAAAGUUGCUUCUAUGCAGAAACGAGUUAACACUCAUGAAUGUAAAUAGCACUCUCCAAUGUCCACACAAAUGCAACAAACCCACAACUAUAAUGCGAUGUCUAACCAUUUCCAAGCAACUAGGGAUAAUUAAUGGUCCUACAAUGGUUGAACCUUUAAUAAUUCCGCCUUCCAUGACAUUAUCUUCAAGUUAUAUCAGCGUUACACAACAAUAUCGCAAGCAAUUUACCAGCAACACGGAAUAUGUUCAGCUAUAUAAGGAAACCAUUCAACCUUAUAGAGAUGAUUGGGAAUUUAUAUUUACAGACGGAUUUAAAAGUGAUACAUCCACCUCAUUUGCUUUGACAAACAAGAACGGUGUCACCAUAGCUGCUUUUGUUUUGCCUUCGUACUGCUCGGUAUUUACAGCUGAAACAGCUGCAAUAUUGGAUCGUUUUGCCGCUAGGAAUGGUAAGAAAACUAUUAUUUGCAGCGACAGUAAAUCAGCCAUAGAUGCUAUUAAACGAGUCCUACCUGAUUACAAAAAUAAAAAACAUUAUUUUUCAACACAAUAACAUAAUCAAAAUUAUGUGGACAAUACCUGGACACGCAGGGAUUCAAGGAAAUGAAAUGGCUGACAAACGAGCGAAAGAAGCAAACAAAGAACCUUUGCAUACGUCAGCAUACUUCACCACAAAGGAUAUUAAGACAUACGCCAAACAACAUAACUCGGUGUUGCCUAACCGAUUGGAGACACUAUAACCACUACUAUAAACUUGCUAAUCCAUUUGGCCAAAAACCACAUUAUUCCAAAACAAUCACCUGUAAAAAUAUAAAAACAUUCACACGCAUAAGGAUCGGACAUACAAUUGCGACACAUGGACACCUUUUGAAUGGUAGAAGCAAACCCAUUUGCACUUUAUGUGGUUCGGAAGAUUUCACAAUACUUCAUAUCCUCGAUCACUGUGCACACGUACAACAACAAAGAGUCUUGAUUUUUGGUAACAACAAACCAUCUGACUUACUCGAUCGGACAGAUGACAAUAACAUUAAUCUUUUUAUAAAAUAUAUGCAAGUAUGUAAAUUAAUUAUUUAAUAUACAAAUAACUGAAGUACAAACUAUAUUUAAUUUGCUUUAGUCUUAAGUAAUAAAAAUGUAAUAACUUAAUCUGUAAAUAUUAAUCAAGCCGCAGGCCCUAGCAGCCAGUGCUUUACAUGUAUAUACAUAAGUGGAAUAACUAUUUAUAUUUAUUUCUCUUCUAAAUAAAUAAAUAAAUAAAAAUAAAAUGUUAUUCUGUGAGCAAUAAAUAAAA